rnacentral:siRNA from 1 species
AUGCAAAACUAUCCUAAACAUGCA